rnacentral:rRNA from 1 species
GACGAACGCUGGCGGCGUGCCUAAUACAUGCAAGUCGAGCGAGCGGAACUAACAGAUUUACUUCGGUAAUGACGUUAGGAAAGCGAGCGGCGGAUGGGUGAGUAAUAUGUGGGGAACCUGCCCCAUAGUCUGGGAUACUACUUGGAAACAGGUGCUAAUCCCGGAUAAGAAAGCAGAUCGCAUGCUCAGCUUUUAAAAGGCGGCGUAAGCAGUCGCUAUGGGCUGGCUGCGCGGUGCAUUAGCUAGUUGGUAAGGUAAAGGCUUACCAAGGCGAUGAUGCGUAGCCGAGUUGAGAGACUGAUCGGCCACAUUGGGACUGAGACACGGCCCAAACUCCUACGGGAGGCAGCAGUAGGGAAUCUUCCACAAUGGACGCAAGUCUGAUGGAGCAACGCCGCGUGAGUGAAGAAGGUUUUCGGAUCGUAAAGCUCUGUUGUUGGUGAAGAAGAAUAGAAGUAGUAACUGCCCUUUAUUUGACGGUAAUCAAACAGAAAGUCACGGCUAACUACGUG